rnacentral:lncRNA from 1 species
UUUACUGUCUCCUAUCCACGGCGACAAAGGGAAAAAGGUUUCAGCGGACUUAGGCGGGCAUCCACGUUCAGGUUUCAGAGGGAGAAGACUCACUGUCUGCUGCUAAGGUCAGGACCGUGGUCAUCCAUCUCCGCUUUGCUGGCCAAUAAGAUUAUUCAGAUUGACCAGCCAGCUGGGUACUCAUCACCUUGCUCUGCUGAAUCUGCUUGAGGCUGUCAUUGGUGCUCGCGAGGCCUGCAGCCAGGCUCUGAAGUCCUCGAUUUGCUGUUCGAUUCACCACAGUGAGCAGGGAACAAUGUCAGGAGAACAAUGCCGCUUUCCGAUCAAGGCGGUAGAAUAAAUCGAGAUUAUUUCGAAAUAAAACGAACAACAGACUUCAUGCAUCUAUGUGAAAAAAAUUAUAAUCAGCAGGGAACAUACUUAUAUUUGACAGAAG